rnacentral:rRNA from 1 species
AUCCUCUUGGUGUGCACCAGGCGAGAAAACUAUACAUUGCUGGAAACACUGAUAAGGGGACACGGAGUGCCAGCAUCAUUUCCUGGCGCUCCGAGAGGGUAAAAAACACACUUUAGCAAGGGCCGGGCAAGACCGGUGCCAGCCGUCGCGGUAACACUGAUGGCCCGAGCUGUCAUAGCUAUUAUUGGGUAUAAAGGAUCGGUAUCCGGUAAGCUCAGUUCUCCGGGAAAUGUGAUCAAUCAAUCAAUGGGCUUUACGGGGAUACAUCCAGUAUCGGAACCCUGAGAGGCAUGGGGUAUUACAGGGGUAGGAGUGAAAUCUCGUAAUCCGCAGGGGACCACAAGGGGAGAAGGGGUGUUACCAGAACGGAUUCGACGGUGAGGGAAGAAAUCCGGGGGCACGAACCGGAUAGGAUACCCGGGUAGUCCCACCCGUAAACGAUCCUCCCUAGGUGUCAGACACAGGCGCGACCGUGUCAGGAGCCGCAGGGAAGCCAAGAAACUAACCACCUGCGAAGUACGGCCGCAAGGAUGAAACAUAAAGGA